UACUGAGUGGCAGACGGGUGAGUAACAUGUGGGAAUCUGCCUUGUGGUUCAGGACAACAUUGGGAAACCGAUGCUAAUACUGGAUAAGCCCUUACGGGGAAAGUUUUAAUGCCAUAAGAUGAGCCCGCAUUUGAUUAGUUAGUUGGUGAGGUAAUGGCUCACCAAGACAAUGAUCAAUAGCUGAUCUGAGAGGAUGAUCAGCCACACUGGGACUGAGACACGGCCCAGACUCCUACGGGAGGCAGCAGUGGGGAAUCUUGCACAAUGGAGGAAACUCUGAUGCAGCGAUGCCGCGUGAGUGAAGAAGGCCUUUGGGUUGUAAAGCUCUUUUGUAGGGGAAGAUAAUGACUGUACCCUAAGAAUAAGGUCCGGCUAACUUCGUGCCAGCAGCCGCGGUAAUACGAAGGGACCUAGCGUAGUUCGGAAUUACUGGGCGUAAAGCGCGCGUAGGCCGUUGAGUUAGUUAAUUGUGA
rnacentral:rRNA from 1 species